rnacentral:rRNA from 1 species
AGCAGUAGCCGCGGUAAUACAGAGGGUGCAAGCGUUAAUCGGAUUUACUGGGCGUAAAGCGUGCGUAGGCGGCUUCUUAAGUCGGAUGUGAAAUCCCUGAGCUUAACUUAGGAAUUGCAUUCGAUACUGGGAAGCUAGAGUAUGGGAGAGGAUGGUAGAAUUCCAGGUGUAGCGGUGAAAUGCGUAGAGAUCUGGAGGAAUACCGAUGGCGAAGGCAGCCAUCUGGCCUAAUACUGACGCUGAGGUACGAAAGCAUGGGGAGCAAACAGGAUUAGAUACCCCAGUAGUCCCUGUCUCUUAUAA